rnacentral:rRNA from 1 species
AACCAGCACCUCAAGUGGUCAGGAUGAUUACUGGGCCUAAAGCAUCCGUAGCUUGCUUUGUAAGUUCUCGGUUAAAUCCAUGCGCUUAACGUAUGGGCUGCCGGCAAUACUGCAAAGCUAGGGAGUGGGAGAGGUAGACGGUACUCGGUAGGAAGGGGUAAAAUCCUUUGAUCUAUUGAUGACCACCUGUGGCGAAGGCGGUCUACCAGAACACGUCCGACGGUGAGGGAUGAAAGCUGGGGGAGCAAACCGG